rnacentral:rRNA from 1 species
CCUACGGGAGGCAGCAGUGAGGAAUAUUGGUCAAUGGCCGAAAGGCUGAACCAGCCAAGUCGCGUGAAGGAAGACGGCCCUACGGGUUGUAAACCUCUUUUGUAGGGGAACAAAGCUAUUCACGUGUGGCUCUUUGAAUGUACCCUAUGAAUAAGCAUCGGCUAACUCCGUGCCAGCAGCCGCGGUAAUACGGAGGAUGCGAGCGUUAUCCGGAUUUAUUGGGUUUAAGGGGUGCGAAGGCGGUUGUGAAAGUCAGCGGUAAAAUUGUGGGGCUCAACCCAGUACUGCCGUUGAAACUGGAUGCCUUGAGUGUGUGUGAGGUAUGCGGAAUGCGUGGUGUAGCGGUGAAAUGCAUAGAUAUCACGCAGAACUCCGAUUGCGAAGGCAGCAUAC